rnacentral:rRNA from 1 species
UAGGGAAUCUUCGGCAAUGGACGAAAGUCUGACCGAGCAACGCCGCGUGAGUGAAGAAGGUUUUCGGAUCGUAAAACUCUGUUGUUAGAGAAGAACAAGGACGUUAGUAACUGAACGUCCCCUGACGGUAUCUAACCAGAAAGCCACGGCUAACUACGUGCCAGCAGCCGCGGUAAAACGUAGGUGGCAAGCGUUGUCCGGAUUUAUUGGGCGUAAAGCGAGCGCAGGCGGUUUCUUAAGUCUGAUGUGAAAGCCCCCGGCUCAACCGGGGAGGGUCAUUGGAAACUGGGAGACUUGAGUGCAGAAGAGGAGAGUGGAAUUCCAUGUGUAGCGGUGAAAUGCGUAGAUAUAUGGAGGAACACCAGUGGCGAAGGCGGCUCUCUGGUCUGUAACUGACGCUGAGGCUCGAAAGCGUGGGGAGCAAACAGG